AAAGGAAUAGACGGGGGCCCGCACAAGCGGUGGAGCAUGUGCUUUAAUUCGAUGCAACGCGAAGAACCUUACCCAGGCUUGACAUGGGGGCGAAAGUCUAUAGAAAUAUGGAACCUUCCGCAAGGAACGCCCUACACAGGUGCUGCAUGGUUGUCGUCAGCUCGUGUCGUGAGAUGUUGGGUUAAGUCCCGCAACGAGCGCAACCCUCGCCCUUAGUUGCCAUCAGGUAAUGCUGGGAACUCUAAGGGGACUGCCUAGUUUAACUAGGAGGAAGGUGGGGAUGACGUCAAAUCCUCAUGGCCCUUACGCCUGGGGCCAGACACGUGCUACAAUGGUCGGUACAGCGAGCUGCAAGCUAGUGAUAGCAAGCUAAUCUCUUAAAACCGAUCUCAGUUCGGAUAGGAGUCUGCAAUUCGACUCCUUGAAGCUGGAAUCGCUAGUAAUCGCGGAUCAGCAUGCCGCGGUGAAUACGUUCCCGGGCCUUGUACACACCGCCCGU
rnacentral:rRNA from 1 species